CCGCGCGGUGGUCAGGGUCACCGCAUCGCCGGCGCUCACGGUCCCGGCGGUGAACGCGCCGAGAUCGGCGGUCACCUCCCCCGUGCGGGC
rnacentral:tRNA from 2 species